rnacentral:rRNA from 1 species
UGGGGAAUAUUGGACAAUGGGCGCAAGCCUGAUCCAGCCAUGCCGCGUGAGUGACGAAGGCCUUAGGGUUGUAAAGCUCUUUUGGCGGGGAAGAUAAUGACGGUACCCGCAGAAUAAGCUCCGGCUACUUCGUGCCAGCAGCCGCGGUAAUACGAAGGGAGCUAGCGUUGUUCGGAAUCACUGGGCGUAAAGCGCACGUAGGCGGACUUUCAAGUCAGGGGUGAAAUCCCGGGGCUCAACCUCGGAACUGCCCUUGAUACUGUUGGUCUCGAGUCCGGAAGAGGUGAGUGGAAUUCCUAGUGUAGAGGUGAAAUUCGUAGAUAUUAGGAAGAACACCGGUGGCGAAGGCGGCUCACUGGUCCGGUACUGACGCUGAGGUGCGAAAGCGUGGGGAGCAAACA